rnacentral:lncRNA from 1 species
GUAAUUUAGGCCUAUUUUAUUCCAUUUUUUAAGCACCUAUUGUUUAUUGUUGUUACUGUUGUAAAUAACUAUUUUAAUACAUAGCUAGGAUAUUGUGUAACAAUAAUAGGUCUGUAAUAAAGCAUUGCGUGUUUUAUGUGCUGCUAAUGCACAGCUAGACCUUUUCAAAUCAAUGCAUUUUUAAUAGGCUACAUAGGCUAUCAGGUAUAAUAUCUACAUACAGAACAUUAGUUUAAAAACAUGUUAGUUCUGUUCUGUUCCCACUGGGUAGGCAAGUUUCCUAAUGAGCGUUUCGUGACCUUUGUAAAUGAGCAUGAUUAUUGAUUUUCUUCAUUUAUCUGCAGAAAAAAGGCAUAAGGACGACGCCUUUUCCAUCUGUUGUUUAAGAAGAAAGAAGAAAGCUUUUAUCUGGCUUUGGCCACAUACUGAACUCUGUCACCGCUUCUGCGGCUUACGGAGGACAAGAGGCGGUAAAGCAGCCUCGGAUGUCAGUGAAAGGUGCUCCAGCCCGGCUCCCAUCUUCACCUGGCCUGACAGCUCCCCACGUUCUCAGACCCUUUUGGACAAUUUCGACACCGUGUCCAUCUGGUUCUGA